UACCCGCUAUUGGAGUUCGAUUAAGCCUGCGAGUCGAGAGUCCUCGGGACUCGGCGUACCGCUCAGUAACACGUGGGUAACCUGCCCUAUGCUGGGGAAUAACCUCGGGAAACUGAGAACAAUGCCCCAUAGCCCACUACGCCUGGAACGGUGAGUGGGUCAAAGCUCCGGCGGCAUAGGAUGGGCCUGCGCCGUAUCAGGUUGUAGGGGGUGUAAAGUACCCUCUAGCCAUCAACGCGUACGGGUGUUGGGAGACAUUGCCCGGAGAUGGAUUCUGAGACACGAAUCCAGACCCUACGGGGUGCAGCAGGCGCGAAAACUUGGCAAUGCGAGAAAUCGUGACCAGGGAACUCCAAGUGCGUAGGGUAAGACCUACGCUUUUCUUGACUCUUCAAAGGUCUUGGAAUAAGGGGUGGGUAAGGACGGGUGCCAGCCGCCGCGGUAAUACCGGCGCCUCAAGUGGUAGUCGCUUUUAUUGGGCCUAAAACGUCCGUAGCCGGUCUGGUGCAUUCGUGGGUAAAUCAACCCGCUCAACGGGUUGAAUUCUGCGAGCACGGCCAGACUUGGGACCGGGAGAGGUGUGGGGUACCUCUCAGGGUAGGGGUAAAAUCCUGUCAUCCNUGAGAGGACCACCCUGUUGC
rnacentral:rRNA from 1 species